UUGGGAAACUCAAGCUAAACAUUCGCUAUGAGACCAUGCAUGUGUCCCCAGGCCUGGUUCUUUACCUACCUAAGUCUGGUCUUAGAAAUGCUGGUGAUAAAA
rnacentral:snoRNA from 1 species